rnacentral:rRNA from 1 species
AUGAACGCUGGCGGCGUGCCUAAUACAUGCCAGUCGAGCGAACGGACGAGAAGCUUGCUUUUCUGAUGUUAGCGGCGGACGGGUGAGUAACACGUGGAUAACCUACCUAUAAGACUGGGAUAACUUCGGGAAACCGGAGCUAAUACCGGAUAAUAUUUUGAACCGCAUGGUUCAAAAGUGAAAGACGGUCUUGCUGUCACUUAUAGAUGGAUCCGCGCUGCAUUAGCUAGUUGGUAAGGUAACGGCUUACCAAGGCAACGAUGCAUAGCCGACCUGAGAGGGUGAUCGGCCACACUGGAACUGAGACACGGUCCAGACUCCUACGGGAGGCAGCAGUAGGGAAUCUUCCGCAAUGGGCGAAAGCCUGACGGAGCAACGCCGCGUGAGUGAUGAAGGUCUUCGGAUCGUAAAACUCUGUUAUUAGGGAAGAACAUAUGUGUAAGUAACUGUGCACAUCUUGACGGUACCUAAUCAGAAAGACACGGAUAACUAAGUG